rnacentral:lncRNA from 1 species
UGAUCCACAGAAAUUCACCUCUGCCACUAUUCUUACAAUUACUCUCUAGGUGAGAUGAAGAUAUCAUCUUUGAAACUUUUGAAUUCCAAGUGCAGCUGGAAAUCAAGUUCCUCUUUCCUGAAGAGAGUAAGCCUGUGAUCUGUCAAAAUACUGAAAGCAUUGUUAGAGGACUCAGGGAUGACAGAAGCAGUGUCCCUGCUAACUGCAGAGGAUUGUGGAUUUGCUCCAGCUGGGAAGCUUCCAGAAGGACCAAAAUAAAGUGUCAAAUGAGGAAAAAAACCUUUCUGUGA